GCCCGUACCGCAAACCGACACAGGUAGGUAGGAAGAAGAUUCUAAGGCCAACGGGAGAAGGGUUGUUAAGGAACUCGGCAAGUUGACCCCGUAACUUCGGGAGAAGGGGUGCUCAUGAAAGUGAGCCGCAGAGAAUAGGCCCAAGCAACUGUUUAGCAAAAACACAGGUCUGUGCUAAAUCGAAAGAUGACGUAUACGGGCUGACACCUGCCCGGUGCUGGAAGGUUAAGGGGAUAUGUGCAAGCAUUGAACUGAAGCCCCAGUAAACGGCGGCCGUAACUAUAACGGUCCUAAGGUAGCGAAAUUCCUUGUCAGGUAAGUUCUGACCCGCACGAAUGGCGUAAUGAUUUGGGCACUGUCUCAACAGCCCGCCCGGCGAAAUUGUAGUACCGGUGAAGAUGCCGGUUACCCGCGACAAGACGGAAAGACCCCAUGGAGCUUUACUGCAGCCUAAUAUUGGGUUUCGAUAUUACAUGUACAGGAUAUGUGGGAGACAUGGAAGCACGGGCGUCAGCCUGUGUGGAGUCAGCCUUGGGAUACCACACUUGUGAUAUUGGAAUUCUAACCUGCGGCCCUGAAUCGGGUCGGGGGACAUUGUUAGGCGGGCAGUUUGACUGGGGCGGUCGCCUCCGAAAAAGUAACGGAGGCGUUCAAAGGUUGGCUCAGCUUGGACGGAAACCAAGCCAAAGAGUGCAAACGCAUAAGCCAGCCUAACUGCGAGACUGACGGGUCGAGCAGUAACGAAAGUUGGAGUUAGUGAUCCGGCGGUAUGUGAGUGGAAAUGCCGUCGCUCAACGGAUAAAAGUUACCCUGGGGAUAACAGGCUGAUCUCCCCCAAGAGUCCACAUCGACGGGGAGGUUUGGCACCUCGAUGUCGGCUCAUCGCAUCCUGGGGCUGUAUUCGGUCCCAAGGGUUUGGCUGUUCGCCAAUUAAAGCGGUACGCGAGCUGGGUUCAGAACGUCGUGAGACAGUUCGGUCCCUAUCUGUCGUGGGCGCAGGAUAUUUGAGAGGAUCUGUCCCUAGUACGAGAGGACCGGGAUGGACGCACCUCUGGUGCACCAGUUGUCACGCCAGUGGCACAGCUGGGCAGCUAUGUGCGGAUCGGAUAAACGCUGAAAGCAUCUAAGCGUGAAGCCGGCCUGGAGAUAAGAUAUCCCACUGAGAUAAUCAGGUAAGACCCCUUGAAGACUACAAGGUUGAUAGGCUCAAAGUGUAAGCACGGUGACGUGUUCAGCUAGCGAGUACUAAUCGGUCGAGGGCUUGACCAC
rnacentral:rRNA from 1 species